rnacentral:rRNA from 1 species
CACGAAGUUAGCCGGGGCUUUUUCUGCAGGUACCGUCAUUAUCGUCCCUGCUAAAAGAAUUUUACAAUCCUAAGACCUUCAUCAUUCACGCGGCAUGGCUGCGUCAGGCUUUCGCCCAUUGCGCAAGAUUCCCCACUGCUGCCUCCCGUAGGAGUCUGGGCCGUGUCUCAGUCCCAGUGUGGCUGAUCAUCCUCUCAGACCAGCUAUGGAUCGUAGGCUUGGUGCGCCUUUACCACACCAACUACCUAAUCCAACGCGGGCCGCUCUAAUGGCGAUAAAUCUUUCCUCCGAAGAGCACAUUCGGUAUUAGCACAAGUUUCCCUGUGUUGUUCCGAACCAAAAGGUACGUUCCCACGUGUUACUCACCCGUCCGCCACUAAGCCCGAAGGCUUCGUUCGACUUGCAUGUGUUAGGCCUGCCGCCAGCGUUCGCUCUGAGCCAGGAUCAAACUCU